UGGAGAAAGUGAGGGUAGGUGAGGGGCUUAAUCUGGUUUAUUUGUUAGUUAAAACGGAAUAUUACAAAACAAAUAGUUUCCCGUUUCCAUCACAACGGACUGAUGCAGAUAUUAGCACAUGAUACAAAGAAGAAUAAAAGAGUUUGUUUAAGCCCAUCAUCAGCUGCCUCUACACCAAUCACUGCCUCAAGUUCUCCACAAUGUAGGACGCGUAAAGAUCCCUGCAACCCACCAAAUACGGGUAAAUAUAAUCUUCAUUUUCGAGAUAUAUAAUAUAAAUUAUUUUCAUACUCACAUUGAGUAUUUGAUAGCAUCAAUUGCUGUUUCAGCAGGGAGGAAGUCUUCCACUGCAACUGACUUGUUCUCAUUCUUUUUAUCUGUUUCAUUACAAGUCAUGGAAACUACUUGCUUAUUUGCAAUUGCACACCCUAUAAGCAGUUAAUACUUUGGAAAGGAUACAGUCCUCAAAGAAGCGGCGAAUUUCAGCUAGACGGUGAGGAGGGAGCUCGUUUAUGUCCUGAUAAUGGCGGAACUCAGGGUCGUCAGCGCAUACUGCAAUGAUUUUGUCGUCCCUCUCGCCCUGUCGAAUGGUUCUUCAAUGAUAAGUUUGAUGUAUUAAUAAGCUACUGAAAGAAAGAGAUAGUUACCUGAUCUAUCAUUGGCAUCAAGCCAAUGGCACGAGCACGGAGGUAAGUACCGGGAAGAACAGGUUCCUGCGUACGAAAAAGAAACAAGUAUUAACAGUUUCACAACUCAAUAUAGCAAUCUCACAGCAAAUAAGAAGUUGGAAGCUGGAACCUGCAUCAGCACCAAAACAUCGAUGGGGUCAUUGUCUUCACAAAGGGUUCGUGGAACAAAACCAUAGUUGUGUGGAUAUACAACGGACGAGUAGAGAACUCUAUCCACCUGUAAAAUCAUCAGUUGUAUCCUAAAUUGGAGCAAAGCAUAAAACCUGACUUUAUCAAGAAUUAAGCGACACGAGAGGACAUUNAUUUUCCCAUGGGAUUUUUACGGAGAGGUUUUUAACAAGGCAUGAACAUCUAUACACUAACAUCAUAUGGAAUCUUGUGAUAUUUGUCUUGGUGAUAGUGCCAAUACACAUAUUAUUCUUCAAAAGAAGAAGUAUUUCCUUAAGUUGACAUUAGCUGAGGAUAAUGUUAACACAAUAUCAGGUGCAUCAAACAUCAUUGAAGGCUCCGGAAGAGCUUGUAUCAUUUUGUCAAAUGAUACUAAACUAGAUAUUGAAAAUGCCCUGUACUCUAGUAAGUUCAAAAGGAACUUACUAAGUUUCAAGAAUGUCCGUAAUAAUGGAUACCACAUCGAGACAAUUGUGUGGAAGGUAAAAAUGAAUAUCUUUGCAUAAAUUCAUUUGUUUCAGGCUAUAAGCUGACAAAAAUAAAAAUUAGCAACACUUCCUUCUGGAACGUAUUACACAUUUAUAGAAGCAAUUGAGACAAACCAUGUCAUGAACGUGAAGUUCAAUGACACAAAAGCUUUAAGCUUUGGCAUGAUAGGUUUGGACAUCCUGGAGCAACUAUAAUACGCCAAUAAUCAAUAAUUUAUAUGGGCACAACAUAAAUAAUCAAAAGAUUCUUUCUACAAUGAAUGACAUGUGAUGCUUGUGCGCAAGGCAAGUUAGUCAUUAGACCUUCAUAUACGAAGGAUAAUACUGAAUCUCCAUCUUUCUUAGAAAGAAUUCAAGGAGACAUUUGUGGACUUAUACAUCCACCUUGUGGACCUUUUCGAUACUUUAUGGUAUUGAUUGAUACUUUUUCUAGAUGGUCACAUGUAUGCUUGCUUUCUACUAGAAAUGCAACAUUUGCUAGACUACUUGCUCAAAUCACUAGUGAGUUUACGUCUCAAGCAUUUGAAAACUACUUUAUGGCUAUUGAAAUUGAGAUUGAAUAUCCAGUAGCUUGUGUCCAUACUCAAAAUGGUUUAGCAGAAUCAUUGAUUAAACGUCUUCAAAUUAUUGCUAGACCAUUACUUAUGAAAUCAAAACUCCCAACUAUUGUUUGGGGUCAUGCCAUAUUACAUGCUGCAACAUUAGUUCGACAUAAGCCAAUCAUGAAUACUUCCCAAUGCAAAUUAUUUUUUGCUGAGAACCUGAUGUUUCUCACUUACGAACUUUUGGUUGCGCGGUUUAAGUCCCAAUUGCACCCCCCACAACGAACAAAAAUGGGUCCCCAACAAAGACUUGGGAUAUAUGUUGGAUUUGAUUCACCUUCGGUUAUAAGGUAUAUAGAACCUUUAACAAGUGAUUUAUUUACUGCAAGUUUUGCAGAUUGUCAUUUUGACGAAAUGACAUUUCCAACAUUAUGAGUAACAAAUCUACAUCCAGAAUGAGAAAAACUUAUCACAUUUUGAUUCUAGAACAAAUCAAUGUGAACAAGAAAUUGAAAAGAUCAUUCAUUUGCAAAAGAUUGCAAAUCAAAUUUCUGAUGCUUUUGUAGAUACAAGAAAAGUGACACAAUCUCACAUACAUGCUGCAAAUACUCCAACUAAAAUUGAUGUCCCUGAAGGACAUAUAGCUUUGGCAGCAAAUGAGUCUAAAAUUCGUCAAAAACAUGGUCGACCAGUUGGUUCCAAAGAUUCUAUGCCUAGAAAAAGAAAGGGGCAAGAUGGAAACCAAACAAUGACGAAAAUGACUAAUCAACCAAUGAAAGCGAUGUAAUUCCUAAAGAAUUACAAGUAUCUGAAAAUCAUGAGAUCUCAAUAAAUUAUUUACAUCAGAUACUAGAGAGAGAAAAUAUCAUUGUUGAUGAUAUAUUUGCCUUUCAUAUAGCUCUUCAUGUUUUAAAUGAGGAUCCUCAACUAAAAUCUGUUGCAGAAUGCAAACAGAGACUUGAUUGGCCAAAGUGAAAAGAAGCUAUAGAAAGGGAAUUAAAUUCCUGUGAUAACCGGAAAGUAUUUGAAUAUAUAGCCAUAACUCCGGAAUCUAAAAUCCAUGUUGGAUAUAGAUGGAUUUUUGUUAGAAAGAGAAACGAGAAAAAUGAAGUUACGAGAUAUAGAGCAAGACUCGUAGCACAAGGUUUCUCACAAAAACCAGGAAUUGAUUAUGAGGAAACAUACUCUCCAGUAAUGGACGCUAUUACUUUUAGAUUUUUGAUUAGUCUGGCUGUGUCACAAAGGCUUGAUAUGCGCCUUAUGGAUGUAGUAACUGCUUAUCUAUAUGAGUCAUUAGAUAAUGACAUAUAUAUGAAAAUUCCUGAAGGAUUUAAAAAAUGCCUGAAGGAUUGCAGUCAAAACCCAAAAGUAUGUAUUCAAUUAAACUGCAAAAAUCGUUGUAUGGGUUGAAAAAGUCUAGUCGUAUGUGGUACAAUAGACUGAGCGCGAGUAUCUUUUGAAAGAGGAUACAAGAAUAAAGAUAUAUGCCCUUGUGUUUUCAUUAAGAAAACCGAAAGUGGAUUUGCAAUCAUAGCAGUUUAUGUUGAUGAUUUAAAUUUAAUUGGGACUCCUGAAGAGCUCAAUAAAACUGCUGAAUAUUUGAAGAAAGAAUUGAGAUGAAAGAUUUGGGAAAGACAAAGUUUUGUCUUGGUUUGCAAAUGGAACAUAUCCGUGGAGGAACGUUUAUCCAUCAAUCCACAUACACAGAAAAAGUGUUAAAACGCUUUUACAUGGAUAAUGCACAUCCAUUAGCAUCACCAAUGGUCGUUAGAUCUCUUGAUACUAAGAAAGAUCCAUUUCGACCAAUUGAAGAGGGUGAAACAAUACUUGGUCCUGAAGUACCAUAUCUAAGUGCAAUUGGAGCGUUGACUUAUCUGGCUAAUAAUACUAGACCAGAUAUAACUUUUUCUGUCAAUCUUCUAGCAAGAUUUAGCACUGCACCCACUUUGAGACAUUGGAAUGGUGUUAAGCACAUUCUACGUUAUCUAAAGGGUACCAUUGAACUUGGAUUAUAUUAUCAAGAAAAUUCUGAUAAUACUCUAGUGGGGUACUCGGAUGCAGGAUUUUUAUCCGAUCCACAUGAAGCUAAGUCACAAACUAGAUAUGUUUUCACAUGUGGUAGAACUGCAAUAUCAUGGAAGUCUGUGAAGCAAACCUUGACUGCAACAUCCUCAAAUCAUUCUGAAAUCAUUGCAAUCCACGAAACAAGUCGAGAAUGUGUAUGGCUGAGAAAUGUGACGAGUCAUAUCCAAGAGUCGUGUGGGUUAGCUUUAUCAAAGGCCAAACCAACUAUUUUAUAUUAAGAUAAUGUUGUUUGCAUCGCGCAACUCAAGGAAGGAUACAUUAAAGGCGAUAGGACGAAGCAUAUUUCUCCCAAGCUCUUCUACACACACGACCUUCAAAAGGGUGGCGAUAUCGAUGUGCAACAAAUUCGCUCAAGUGAAAAUCUGGCGGACUUAUUCACCAAGGUAUUACCAACAUCGACAUUCAGAAAGUUGGUACAAGAGAUCGGCAUGUGUCGACUCAAAGAUAUUCAAUGAUCUCAAGUACACGGGAAGCAGUUGUACUCUUUUUCCUUCGACUAGCUUAAUACAUAUUCUCUUCUCUAUUCUCUCGUUUCUCUCUAGUUUAUAACACACUCCAAUUAUUUUUCCCCUUUUUCUUUCUUAUUAUAAAAUUGCAUAUAAAGAGGUCGUAUUGUGUAUAAUUGGAUGUACCGUACAAUCGGAUUGCACACUCACUUGGACCUUGACCCGCACCUGAUCUGAACCCGUAUAUUGACCCGAACCUUAUAAAUAAUACUCCUUCCGUCCACCAAAGGUAUGCCACAAUUUCCUUUUUCGUCCGUCCACAAAUAAAUAUGUCACAUCCAUUUUUAGUAGUAGGGUCCACAUCAUUCCACUCACAUUUAAAGUGAGACCCUUACUCCACUACUAACUUCACUCACAUUUUAUUAAAACUUGUGCCGAAAGUAAAGUGACAUAUCUUUGGUGGACGGAUGGAGUACUAAUUUGGGUGCAGAUCAACCCGAUUGUACCCAAAUUUUUGUGAUAUAUAAAUAUACACACAUAUAGUUUAUAAGCUAUAAAAUCAUAGUAAUUUAUAAGCUAUAAAAUCACUAUCAAAUUGUCGUCUAAAAAAAACAGUACAAUAUUGCUUAUCCCUGAAUUAUACUAAAUUGUUAUUUCAUAAUUAUGGUGAAAUUAUUUUUAUCAAAUGGCAUUAUGAUUUUUAGUAAUUGAAUUAAAUUUGAGUUUCAUGUUUUAGUAGGCUCGUAAUGCGCUAUAUAAUAGAGAAAUGGAGCCAAAAUUGGAGAAAGUGAGGGUAGGUGAGGGGCUUAAUCUGGUUUAUUUGUUAGUUAAAACGGAAUAUUACAAAACAAAUAGUUUCCCGUUUCCAUCACAACGGACUGAUGCAGAUUGAUACAAAGAAGAAUAAAAGAGUUUGUUUAAGCCCAUCAUCAGCUGCCUCUACACCAAUCACUGCCUCAAGUUCUCCACAAUGUAGGACGCGUAAAGAUCCCUGCAACCCACCAAAUACGGGUAAAUAUAAUCUUCAUUUUCGAGAUAUAUAAUAUAAAUGAUUUUCAUACUCACAUUGAGUAUUUGAUAGCAUCAAUUGCUGUUUCAGCAGGGAGGAAGUCUUCCACUGCAACUGACUUGUUCUCAUUCUUUUUAUCUGUUUCAUUACAAGUCAUGGAAACUACUUGCUUAUUUGCAAUUGCACACCCUAUAAGCAGUUAAUACUUUGGAAAGGAUACAGUCCUCAAAGAAGCGGCGAAUUUCAGCUAGACGGUGAGGAGGGAGCUCGUUUAUGUCCUGAUAAUGGCGGAACUCAGGGUCGUCAGCGCAUACUGCAAUGAUUUUGUCGUCCCUCUCGCCCUGUCGAAUGGUUCUUCAAUGAUAAGUUCGAUGUAUUAAUAAGCUACUGAAAGAAAGAGAUAGUUACCUGAUCUAUCAUUGGCAUCAAGCCAAUGGCACGAGCACGGAGGUAAGUACCGGGAAGAACAGGUUCCUGCGUACGAAAAAGAAACAAGUAUUAACAGUUUCACAACUCAAUAUAGCAAUCUCACAGCAAAUAAGAAGUUGGAAGCUGGAACCUGCAUCAGCACCAAAACAUCGAUGGGGUCAUUGUCUUCACAAAGGGUUCGUGGAACAAAACCAUAGUUGUGUGGAUAUACAACGGACGAGUAGAGAACUCUAUCCACCUGUAAAAUCAUCAGUUGUUCCUAAAUUGGAGCAAAGCAUAAAACCUGACUUUAUCAAGAAUUAAGCGACACGAGAGGACAUUGUUGUGUGGUAGAUUUCCUAUUCUAGUAGAUCAAGGUUUGUUCUAGCUAGUCUAUAUGCACCUCUUUGUUGCUAUUCUANGAACCUUAUAAAUAAUACUCCUUCCGUCCACCAAAGGUAUGCCACAAUUUCCUUUUUCGUCCGUCCACAAAUAAAUAUGUCACAUCCAUUUUUAGUAGUAGGGUCCACAUCAUUCCACUCACAUUUAAAGUGAGACCCUUACUCCACUACUAACUUCACUCACAUUUUAUUAAAACUUGUGCCGAAAGUAAAGUGACAUAUCUUUGGUGGACGGAUGGAGUACUAAUUUGGGUGCAGAUCAACCCGAUUGUACCCAAAUUUUUGUGAUAUAUAAAUAUACACACAUAUAGUUUAUAAGCUAUAAAAUCAUAGUAAUUUAUAAGCUAUAAAAUCACUAUCAAAUUGUCGUCUAAAAAAAACAGUACAAUAUUGCUUAUCCCUGAAUUAUACUAAAUUGUUAUUUCAUAAUUAUGGUGAAAUUAUUUUUAUCAAAUGGCAUUAUGAUUUUUAGUAAUUGAAUUAAAUUUGAGUUUCAUGUUUUAGUAGGCUCGUAAUGCGCUAUAUAAUAGAGAAAUGAGCCAAAAUUGGAGAAAGUGAGGGUAGGUGAGGGGCUUAAUCUGGUUUAAUUUGUUAGUUAAAACGGAAUAAUUACAAAACAAAUAGUUUACCCGUUUCCAUCACAACGGACUGAUGCAGAUAUUAGCACAUGAUACAAAGAAGAAUAAAAGAGUUUGUUUAAGCCCAUCAUCAGCUGCCUCUACACCAAUCACUGCCUCAAGUUCUCCACAAUGUAGGACGCGUAAAGAUCCC
rnacentral:lncRNA from 1 species